rnacentral:rRNA from 1 species
UACGGAGGGUGCAAGCGUUAUCCGGAUUCACUGGGUUUAAAGGGUGCGUAGGCGGGUUGGUAAGUCCGUGGUGAAAUCUCCGAGCUUAACUCGGAAACUGCCGUGGAUACUAUCAAUCUUGAAUAUCGUGGAGGUAAGCGGAAUAUGUCAUGUAGCGGUGAAAUGCUUAGAUAUGACAUAGAACACCAAUUGCGAAGGCAGCUCACUACACAAAUAUUGACACUGAGGCACGAAAGCGUGGGGGAUCAAACAGG